GGUAACACGCGUAGGUUGGCCAUGCAGCCUGCUUUGCCCACUGAAAGGUAGCAGCAAUGCUUGAGAAUUUGGAUUUACAUCGAACCAUAGUGACUGGGUG